ensembl:lncRNA
AUGCCAGCCGCCAGCGGUAUCCCCCGGGACAGGGCACGGCCCACGGGCGGCCCCGCCACACGCGCGGGGGCUGCGACGCCGCCGCCGCCACCGGCCGCCCACCAGCACCAACGGCGGGCGCCGGGCGCCCCCCAGCGGCGGCAGCGCCGCACUGCGCCCACCCGCCCCGGCACGGCACGGGCGGCGCCGAGCGGCCCCGCGGGGAAGAAGGAGGCGGUGGCGGGGGGGGACGAGACCGGCCGCGACCCCCCCCACACCGCCCUCAGCGGGGUCCCGUCUCCCCGCUGUGCCCGUCGGUGUCUGUCAGCCGCCGGCGGGGAGAGGCGUCCCCCGGCGCCGCCGUCCUGCCCGCCCCUGCCCAUCUCUCGGCGUUACGGCACGUCUAAAGCGGGGCCGGCGGGGCCGUUUGCCGGUAAAACGGCUUUCGUCAGGGACAAAUUAAUAAAACCAAAAAGCCCUUCGCCCGUCGAGGAAACCGGGCACCGGGAAGCGGCGGGGCGGCGGAGGAGCCGGAGUACACUUAUAUGCUUGAGGUGGAUGCAAAUGACUGAAAGUGCUCAGACUUCAGACUGCCUCUUCCUUGUUAGCCCUCCGACCUGUGGAGGUGGACAGCAUUCAAGGUACCUUAUCUUGUUUUGUGACACCAGGUUAACCUCUGGCACUCAGCAGUUUGUUGUCAGAAAUGUACAAAGCGGUGUCCGCCUGUGCACAGGAG